UCAAAGAAAAGGAAUGCAUGGAAAUCCAUCUGUAAUGAAUUUAAUGCAAAUGAACAAACAUCCACAAGAACAAUACAACAGCUUCAGGUUUUGUGGAAGAAUAUAAAAAUCAACCUAAAAAAAACUGCUGCAGAAGCCCGAAGAGAGAGGUUUAAGACUGGUGGAGGACCUGCAAAUAAAGAUACUGAUCAGUUGGAUGACUUACUGACAGGAAUAAUGGAGAACUAGCAACCUUUGGAGAACAUACCAGAUGAUGACCAUCUAGACAGUUCAGAUGAGGGAUCACACACACAUACUACAAUGGGAGAAAGUCAAAGGGACAUAACUGAAGCGCUGCAAGGUAAUUUACCCUCCACAUCCUCAGAAACUAGGGUGGCAGUGUCUGCCAGUACCGGUCAUCAAAACAAAAGUCACAAUCCACGAAAAGCUGGCCAUUGAAUUUCAUGAAC